AUUACUCAUUACUGUAGUAGUACAGACGAGU
rnacentral:piRNA from 1 species